UACGUAGGGGGCAAGCGUUGUCCGGAAUUAUUGGGCGUAAAGCGCGCGCAGGCGGUAUUGUAAGUCUGGUGUCUAAGACUGGGGCUCAACCCUGGAACGCACCGGAAACUGCAAGACUUGAGUGCAGGAGAGGAAAGUGGAAUUCCACGUGUAGCGGUGAAAUGCGUAGAGAUGUGGAGGAACACCAGUGGCGAAGGCGACUUUCUGGCCUGUAACUGACGCUGAGGCGCGAAAGCGUGGGGAGCAAACA
rnacentral:rRNA from 1 species